GGGGACCUACGGGGCCCUAUACCCACGGCGGGGCGACCCGUCUGACAUAGCAAACGGAAGACAGCUGA
rfam:Jannaschia aquimarina strain GSW-M26 jaqu_contig000080, whole genome shotgun sequence.